AGAGUUUGAUCCUGGCUCAGAACGAACGCUGGCGGCGUGGCUAAGACAUGCAAGUCGAACGGACUAUGGAAUUGGGUAACCGAGACCAUGGUCAGUGGCGAAAGGGUGAGGAAUAAAUAGGUAACAUACCCCGUACUCCGGGAUAGCGUCGUUGCCGCAAGGCAACUACCGAAAGGGGCGGUAAUACCGGAUGAUAUCGGAUUUCACAAGGAGUCCGAUCAACGAUUUAUCGGUGCGGGAUUGGCCUAUUUCCUAUCAGCUAGUUGGUGAGGUAAUGGCCCACCAAGGCGAUGACGGGUAGCGGGACUGAGAGGUUGACCCGCCACAUCGGGACUGAGACACUGCCCGGACCUCCACGGAGGGCUGCAGUAACGAAUAUUGCGCAAUGGGCGAAAGCCUGACGCAGCGACGCCGCGUGUAGGACGAAGCCCCUCGGGGUGUAAACUACUGUCAGGGGUUAGAAAGUCUGAGCAAUCAGAUUGAUCAGCCCCAGAGGAAGUCACGGCUAACUUCGUGCCAGCAGCCGCGGUAAUACGAAGGUGGCUAGCGUUGUUCGGUGUCACUGGGCUUAAAGCGCUCGUAGGCGGAACCGUAAGUGUCUUGUGAAAUCCCCCGGCUCAACCGGGGAAUGGCUAGGCAUACUGCGGUUCUUGAGGCAAACAGGGGUGCAUGGAACUCUUGGUGGAGCGGUGGAAUGCGUAGAUAUCAAGAGGAACGCCGAUGGUGAAGACAAUGCACUGGGUUUGUCCUGACGCUGAGGAGCGAAAGCGUGGGGAGCAAACAGGAUUAGAUACCCUGGUAGUCCACGCCCUAAACGAUGUUUACUAGGUUGUAGAGGAUCUGACGCCUUUACAGUCGGAGCAAAAGUGUUAAGUAAACCGCCUGGGGAGUACGGUCGCAAGGCUAAAACUUAAAGGAAUUGACGG
rnacentral:rRNA from 1 species